rnacentral:rRNA from 1 species
UACGUAGGUGGCAAGCGUUGUCCGGAUUUAUUGGGUUUAAAGGGUGCAUAGGCGGCCCUGUAAGUCAGUUGUGAAAUACGGCAGCUUAACUGUCGAGGUGCAAUUGAUACUGCAGGGCUUGAGUACUGAUGAGGUAGGCGGAAUGGACGGUGUAGCGGUGAAAUGCUUAGAGAUCGUCCAGAACACCGAUAGCGAAGGCAGCUUACUAAGGAGUAACUGACGCUGAGGCACGAAAGUGUGGGGAUCAAACAGG